UCGCCUUUCCCGUCCCGAUGCAGUGACCGCCCGCCCGCGUGCCCUGGACCUUCCGCCGGCUCCCGGAUCCAUCUGCCUCUUGCAGCCGUCGCCAGCCCCCUUCUACCUCGAGAUUUAAAUUAAAUACUACUAAAGAUAGGUCUAGGCCAAACGAGGCAGCAGAGUCCGUUUCUGGUGAGAAACGGGGUGGAGACGAUGCAGGAGAGGGCAAGAGAUAGAGCGAGAGUGGAGUCGUCGGAGCUGCCGAUGUGGGGUAAAACGGAGAUCACCAGCGGGGAUUUCUCGAGGCUGCACCACCGAAUCAAAAUCCUAGGCGCCGUGAAUGUGGCCAGGUUUGAUUGGCUAACUAAGGAGUGCUGGGCAGGUGGGGAAGAUGCACGUGUCGCGACGGUGCAUCGGAAAUUGGCGAAGGCUCGUCUCGGCAAACAAGAAGCUAUGGAUACAUGCGCGUCUAGCCGCAAGCCGUCUUCAUUGUUGUUCAUGGAGUCCAACAGUAUUCUACACACGAAUGACAUCCAUUGAGGAGAUCUCUUAAAUAGCAUCGGAUGCCACACAAGCCUGAUGGCUAAUGUUUCCGCUCCGUUGACGACCCCCACCGACGCCUCCAAUGACAUAAGAUUUGUUCUCCCUGGUGCAAAAUCAGACAGAUUAUCUAUGGACAAGAAUCUGGGAAAAAAGGAUCCCUCCCCUACUGAAUUAUGUAUGUUAGAUCAACACGGAAAAUUUCUAUUUCUGUAUAUAUCUUUAGUCUAUGCAUUUGCAGCGAUAGCCUUCGAAUUUACAAUCA